rnacentral:lncRNA from 1 species
AUGCAUGUCACAGUUAAGAUUAGACUUGGGAAGACACGUUUGACUGAACCACUGAAGAUAUCCAACUGUGCUGACAUCAUUGGACCACCAACCUCUGUCCUGUGUCGGCAGUGUAUUGAGGCUGGAUGUGGCUGGAACAUAAACCGCUGUUCUUGGGCAAAUCAAGGAGAGAGGAAUGUAAAUAUGCAUGCUUCUAUGUAUUUAUCAAUUGUUUUCCUCUAGACUUCAUACAUGUUGUACUAGCACGUUUUUGCAAAUUUGAACAACAUUGCAUCAGUAAUGUGGUCAUUUUAAGAUAUUUAUAAAACUGAAGACUGAUCAACAAGUUAUUUUACCAGGACAUGUGUAACCUAUGUUAGCAACUGGAAACCAUUAGCAAAUACAGUGAAGCCUACUAAUUGGAAAUGUGUUGAUUCUGCUACAAUUUUCAUUGUAGAAUUUAUGACCGACUCAAGAAUACAAAACAAGGAUUGACUUUAUCUGUUCAUUUUUUUUAAUAAAUGUAGUUAUUAUACCUAGCUCAUUAUAUAAUAUGAAAAUAAAUAUAUUAUAUAUAUUGAAUAUAAAUUGAAAUGUUUAAAUCUUUUUGUUAAGAAAUAGUCUUACAUUUUUAGAAAUCCACUUAUUACUCAGGCUAGCCUAACCCAGUCUGGAUUUAACCUAGAUUAGAACACAGGGGAAACAACAUGAAACAGCUAGUUCCCAUCAAAAGUUACUAAAAGAAAUGGCCUCCAGCAACAGCAGAACAGUCUUUUAACAUGUUUUGUCUCGAUAGCUAAUGAUAGCAGACUAGUGACUAAUAGACUCACCACUCUGCUGUGGCUCAGAGAUACUCAGUGUUUCAGAGCUCAGUAGGCCUACAUUUAGCUGAUCGAUUAUUAACGAAGCUGCUUGUUAAACCCUAACAUCUAAUUUUCUAAACUGCACAUGUUAAUCAAACAUGUAAUUUAGAUUGCAUUGUAGUUGUAGGAAUAUACCUUAGACUAGUUGUUUUCUACUGUUUUCAGUUUUUUAGCAUAGCUAACAUUAGCUGAAACAGCUCCUGAAUCAUCACUUAAUAGUGACACUGAAUGUGAACAUGACAUAUCUUUCUCUCACUUCCUGCAGCACAGUGGAAAAAAACACAAGUUACAGCCAUUAUGUGGUACCUUUAAAUGGACUGGCAUGUAAACCUGCUACAUUUCUUCCCUUCAUCUCUUCUUGCAGGACAGUCUUUGCCAAAAGUUGGAUUCAGGGAUGAACAUCUCUGUGAGUCUGAACUUCAAUUCUCACAAAGAUAAAGAUAAUAUUAAAGAUAACACACUGGAAAUUAUAAUCUCUGUAUGUGUUUUACUGUCAGAGACCAGAGAUCUCCUCCAUUACUCCCAGUGUCAUAUCUUUCUACGGCAAAAACAAUGCAGUGUUGUCCGGUCAUAACCUUCAUGAUGUGACCAGAGUGAGGAUCCAGGCAGACAUGGACUGCACUCCACAAGAGUGAGUCAGUUUUUUGGGGAUGUGUAAGUCUUGUAAAACAAGUAAAAGAGAAACAAAAAAAUGAAACCAUUUGAUAGGAGCAGAGUAAGGAGGAUGAAUUGAGGAGUCUUACGGCCUGAGGAAAGAAGCCACUUCGUAGUCUGGUUCAGUGGAUACUUCUGUAUCUUGUGCCAGGUGAACAAACUAUGGCUGGGUUGGGUGUUGUCCUUUGGGCUCUGUGCAGACACCUCACUUCACUGGUAUCACAAGGCAAAGCAAGUUUAUUUGUAUAACACAAUUCAGACACAAGGCAACUCAAAGUGCUUUACAGGAGCUUACAAUUAACAUUAA